UGGCCACUGGAGGCCGCUAGAGGUAGUAUAUUCUUAGUGAGGUAAUUCAUGUGACUGGGUUGGAGGCUGUGCACCCAGGAACCUGUAUAACUAAUAAUUCGAUUUGCACUUGCCUGACUUCUCUCAUCUCCGAAGAUCAGGGACAUUUCAGAGACCUUCAAGCUAGCGGCUAAUUCCGAAAAGCAGCAAAUCUAAAAUUUGCACCCUUGGUGAGCGGAGUAAGGUGUGUAUCAUUUGGCUCUAUGUAUAAUAGGACUUCAAGGAUGUAAAAUGUCAAAUUUUGACUGUUAUUGGAAAUUAUUUUGUUGUUUAUCUUGUACCAUGAAAGUGUAUAUGUUAAAGGAGACAAUUAUUGUCUUUAGUUGUUAUUUAAAUAACUUCAAAGGUCACUUGAUUUGUAUUGUACAUGUACAAAAAUGCAUCUUGAUAUACUGUAAAUGAGGUGAGGAUUUUGUUUGCGAAUUUGUGUCUAAAGGUUCAUUAAUCAGCUAUUUGUGUUUACUUAUAGUUUUCACGGUGCUCACGCUGAUUUGGACGAAUAAAAAUUACUGCACCCGUUUGA